rnacentral:rRNA from 1 species
AUGAACGCUGGCGGCGUGGAUAAGGCAUGCAAGUCGAACGGUCUAAGACCCGCAAGGGUUUUAGAUAGUGGCGAACGAGUUAGUAACACCUUGGUACAUCCCUCAAAGUCGGGCACAACGGGUCGAAAGAUCCGCUAAUUCCCGAUGGUCUCGCAAGAGUAAAGUCGCAAGACGCUUUGAGAGUGGCCUAGGUCCUAUCAGCUUGUUGGCGGGGUAACGGCCCACCAAGGCUACGACGGGUAGGGGGCGUGAGAGCGUGGCCCUCAACGAUGGAACUGAGACACGGUCCAUACACCUACGGGUGGCAGCAGUCGAGAAUAUUCGACAAUGGGCGAAAGCCUGAUCGAGCGACGCCGCGUGCAGGAAGAAGCUCUUCGGAGUGUAAACUGCUUUUGCGUGGGAAGAACUUUGACGGUACCACGAGAAUAAGGGGUUGCUAACCUCGU